GGCUGGGGCCCCCGGAUUACCUCAGGUGCCGCAGUUGGCCCGUGGGGCUGCUGCCUUAAGAACCAGGAGUAAUUGGGCCCGGGGCAGCUGCCCCAUUUGCCCAGCGUUAAAGACAACCGGGGGCAGAAUAGCCAAACUAAAAGCACAGCUGACUGAGAAUGUUUUCCGCUUUGGCUAUUUUGACCUUAAGUUUGAAAUUCACCUUAAAUUCCUUCUGAAAUCUCACUUUAAU